CGCAUAUUGCGCCCUUUGGUAUCCCAUAGGGCAUGCCUGUUCGAGCGUCAUAAACACCUCUCAAGCUCUGCUUGGUUCUAGGACUAGCCAGUACUGGUUUUCCUUAAUUCUAGUGGAGCAGAUCUGCCGCCAGAGUGUAGUAAAUUCUUUCUCGCUCUUGGUACAAGAUAGUAGCUUUCUCCAUAAAUCAUCUUGGUUGACCUCGGAUCAGGUAGGAAUACCCGCUGAACUUAA
rnacentral:misc_RNA from 1 species